GUGGGGAAUUUUGGACAAUGGGCGAAAGCCUGAUCCAGCCAUGCCGCGUGCAGGAUGAAGGCCUUCGGGUUGUAAACUGCUUUUGUACGGAACGAAAAGACUCCUUCUAAUAAAGGGGGUCCAUGACGGUACCGUAAGAAUAAGCACCGGCUAACUACGUGCCAGCAGCCGCGGUAAUACGUAGGGUGCAAGCGUUAAUCGGAAUUACUGGGCGUAAAGCGUGCGCAGGCGGUUAUAUAAGACAGAUGUGAAAUCCCCGGGCUCAACCUGGGAACUGCAUUUGUGACUGUAUAGCUAGAGUACGGUAGAGGGGGAUGGAAUUCCGCGUGUAGCAGUGAAAUGCGUAGAUAUGCGGAGGAGCACCGAUGGCGAAGGCAAUCCCCUGGACCUGUACUGACGCUCAUGCACGAAAGCGUGGGGAGCAAACAGGAUUAGAAACCCCGGUAGUCC
rnacentral:rRNA from 1 species